rnacentral:rRNA from 1 species
GAUGAACGCUAGCGGCAGGCCUAACACAUGCAAGUCGAGGGCAGCACGUCUUCGGAUGGUGGCGACCGGCGCACGGGUGCGUAACGCGUAUGCAACCUACCUCUUACAGUGGGAUAGCCCAGAGAAAUUUGGAUUAAUACCGCAUAGUAUACAGAUUCAGCAUUGGGACUGUAUUAAACAUUUAUGGGUAAGAGAUGGGCAUGCGUUCUAUUAGUUAGUUGGAGUGGUAACGGCACCCCAAGACAGCGAUAGAUAGGGGCCCUGAGAGGGGGAGUCCCCCACACUGGUACUGAGACACGGACCAGACUCCUACGGGAGGCAGCAGUGAGGAAUAUUGGACAAUGGGCGAGAGCCUGAUCCAGCACUGCCGCGUGCAGGAAGACGGCCC